UGUCAACAAUAUCUGAUUUAAAAAUUAUAGCAGUGUGGGAAGAUGGUCAUGUACCUUUAGAUGUCUCAGGAACUGAAAGUUCAGAGACGGAAACGUCUCACACCACCAUGAUCCUGAUGAACUCAACAGCUGCGAUGAAUUCAACUGCUGCACCCAUUAGUUCCCAGCAAAUAGGAGAGGAAUUCAUUGCAGUUACUAACAACAUGACUGUUCCAGAAAAGCCUUUCCCCACUUUUGGAUAAGUUUUGUUUAGCAUGAUUCAAAACAGUAACAAUUCUUUUAGAAAGAUCAUAAACAAGUUCCAACAAGUUGAAUAAACUUAUCAAGAGUUAACUAUGGUUACAAAAGUUUCCAUAUUAUUCUGAGGGGCCAUAAAUAUAGAGUUUAAACUUUAUUAAAACAAAGGUAAAUGAUGAAUAGAUACCUGGUGCCCACAAAUCUGGCAGUAUAACUGCAGUUUUUUUAAAUUAUUGUUUGAGGCUGAGAAUUGUUUCCUAGACUGUACGUUCUGCCAUCCUC
rnacentral:lncRNA from 1 species